AGGAAGUGGUCAAUGCUGUGGAGGAC
rnacentral:piRNA from 1 species